rnacentral:rRNA from 1 species
GACGAACGCUGGCGGCGUGCUUAACACAUGCAAGUCGAACGGAAAGGCCCUGCUUUUGUGGGGUGCUCGAGUGGCGAACGGGUGAGUAACACGUGAGUAACCUGCCCUUGACUUUGGGAUAACUUCAGGAAACUGGGGCUAAUACCGGAUAGGAGCUCCUGCUGCAUGGUGGGGGUUGGAAAGUUUCGGUGGUUGGGGAUGUACUCGCGGCUUAUCAGCUUGUUGGUGGGGUAGUGGCUUACCAAGGCUUUGACGGGUAGCCGGCCUGAGAGGGUGACCGGCCACAUUGGGACUGAGAUACGGCCCAGACUCCUACGGGGGGCAGCAGUGGGGAAUAUUGCACAAUGGGCGGAAGCCUGAUGCAGCAACGCCGCGUGCGGGAUGACGGCCUUCGGGUUGUAAACCGCUUUCGCCUGUGACGAAGCGUGAGUGACGGUAAUGGGUAAAGAAGCACCGGCUAACUACGUG